rnacentral:lncRNA from 1 species
GUGGGCAGCCGGACGUACCCUGGCAGGGAGCAGCAGGUGGCGGCGGUGCAUGGGGCCUGGCCCCACCAGCGGGCACUGGCCCACAGCCACGGCCGGGGGGCCAUCUAGCUGGAGAGAGAAGGGACAGCAACUCCAUCCGCUCCUGCAACUGCCGGACGUGUGCCUCUAGGUCCCGGUUCCGAGCCUCUGCCUCGCGUAGUUGACUGUGGGGAGGAACAAAUCAGGAUUCCCACCUGCCCAAGGCCUUUGCCCUGGAGGCUCUCGCCUGACCACUUGGCACCUUUCCUUCCAUGGCUUGUUUCUCCUUCACCAGCGCUCAGCUCAAAGAUCGACUUCUCAGAUCCCCAGCAACACACACACCCUUACUUAAUGCCCCACUGUAACUACAGAGACCGUCCCAUGUCUGAAGUAA